rnacentral:rRNA from 1 species
AGUGAACGCUGGCGGUAGGCCUAACACAUGCAAGUCGAACGGCAGCACAGUAAGAGCUGGCUCUUACGGGUGGCGAGUGGCGGACUGGUGAGGAAUACAUCGGAAUCUACUUUUUCGUGGGGGAUAACGUAGGGAAACUUACGCUAAUACCGCAUACGACCUACGGGUGAAAGCAGGGGAUCUUCGGACCUUGCGCUAUUGAAUGAGCCGAUGUCGGAUUAGCUAGUUGGCGGGGUCAAGGCCCACCAAGGCGGCGAUCCGUAGCUGGUCUGAGAGGAUGAUCAGGCACACUGGCAGUGAGACACGGUCCAGACUUCUAAGGGAGGCAGCAGUGGGGAAUAUUAGAGAAUGGGGGCAAGCCUGAUCCAGCCAUACCGCGUGGGUGAAGAAGGCCUUCGGGUUGUAAAGCCAUUUUGUUGGGAAAGAAAAGCAGCAGGUUAAUACCCCGCUGUUCUGACGGUACCCAAAGAAUAAGCACCGGCUAACUUCGUG